rnacentral:rRNA from 1 species
CCGCGACCGGGAGAUGCGAACCCAAGAGGGCGGAACGUUCGGUGGAUAGCACCCNCGAAACNAACGNGCGGCCCCAGGACGGGGNGGGGAAAAUUACACGAAGANAGACAACGCAAGAAAGGCAGGCCGGACAACGCGAACAAGCAAGGAGCAGUANCCAAGCAAGCAGAGCAGACAGCGCGCACGCACAAGAAGCANAGNCAACACCGACAAGAAGCAAAGCAAAACAACAGCAACAANAGAGAACACGACGAAGCAGAAACAAACANAAAGACACACAGCAGCACANCAGGCAAGACGACGCAGCACCACACAGCACGACACACAGCACCACACGCAAGAAAACACACCAGCAACAGAAGCAAACACACCAAC